CAGCCGCCGCGGGAAAACGUAGGGUGCAAGCGUUAAUCGGAAUUACUGGGCGUAAAGCGUGCGCAGGCGGUUAUAUAAGACAGAUGUGAAAUCCCCGGGCUCAACCUGGGAACUGCAUUUGUGACUGUAUAGCUAGAGUACGGCAGAGGGGGAUGGAAUUCCGCGUGUAGCAGUGAAAUGCGUAGAUAUGCGGAGGAACACCGAUGGCGAAGGCAAUCCCCUGGGCCUGUACUGACGCUCAUGCACGAAAGCGUGGGGAGCAAACAGGAUUAGAUACCCCCGUAGUCCCUGUCUCUUAACA
rnacentral:rRNA from 1 species